GUGAACAAAGAACCAUUUGACUGAUAAUGCUGAGCCUUAACCCUUUAGUGUUUAAACUGGCCAUAUCCGGCCGAAGUUUUCUACCAAUUUUAUGUUUAAUCUGACCAGAUCAGGGCUCUCACACCUAACCUACAUUGACAUUAUAAAAAUAAACAAUCACAUCAUUGAAACCUCAAAACUAUAAGACAAUGCAUGAUUAAUUAAAAACAAUUUGAGUAAAAAAAUAUUACAUUUAAC